rnacentral:rRNA from 1 species
UAAUCCGACCUAGGCUCAUCCGUCGACGCGAGGUCUUGCGACCCCCGCUUUCCCCCGAAGGGCGUAUGCGGUAUUAGCCAAUCUUUCGGUUGGUUAUUCCCCAUUACUGGGCAGAUUCCGAAGCAUUACUCACCCGUUCGCCGCUCGUCAGCACGUAUUGCUACGCCUGUUACCGCUCGACUUGCAUGUGUUAGGCCUGCCGCCAGCGUUCAAUCUGAGCCAGGAUCAAACUCU